rnacentral:rRNA from 1 species
UACGGAGGGGGCUAGCGUUGUUCGGAAUUACUGGGCGUAAAGCGCACGUAGGCGGCUUUGUAAGUUAGAGGUGAAAGCCCGGGGCUCAACUCCGGAAUUGCCUUUAAGACUGCAUCGCUUGAAUCCAGGAGAGGUGAGUGGAAUUCCGAGUGUAGAGGUGAAAUUCGUAGAUAUCCGGAGGAACACCAGUGGCGAAGGCGGCUCUCUGGGCAGAUACUGACGCUGAGACGCGAAAGCAUGGGGAGCAAACAGG